GUGAGGAAUAUUGGUCAAUGGGCGAGAGCCUGAACCAGCCAAGUAGCGUGAGGGAUGACUGCCCUAUGGGUUGUAAACCUCUUUUGCAGGGGGGUAAAGUGGUUCACGUGUGGACCAUUGCAAGUACCCUGCGAAUAAGGAUCGGCUAACUCCGUGCCAGCAGCCGCGGUAAUACGGAGGAUCCGAGCGUUAUCCGGAUUUAUUGGGUUUAAAGGGAGCGUAGGCGGGGGUUUAAGUCAGCUGUGAAAUGCCGUGGCCCAACCAUGGAACUGCAGUUGAAACUGGACCUCUUGAGAGUACAUAAGGAAGGCGGAAUUCGUGGUGUAGCGGUGAAAUGCAUAGAUAUCACGAAGAACUCCGAUUGCGAAGGCAGCUUUCCGGGGUACAUCUGACGCUGAAGCUCGAAAGUGCGGGAAUCAAACAGGAUUAGAUACCCGAGUAGUC
rnacentral:rRNA from 1 species